CGGCGAGGCUCGCCUAGCCACCGGAGAGGCUCGCCCAAUCCCGCCAGAUCUGGCGAGGCCGAGCCUCGCCGGUGGCUGGGCUUGCCUCCAAC
rnacentral:pre_miRNA from 1 species